rnacentral:rRNA from 1 species
AAGUCGAACGCACCCGCUUCGGCGGGUGAGUGGCGCACGGCUGAGUAACACGUGGGAACCCGCCCCCCGGUGGGGGAUAACGCGACGAAAGUUGCGCUAAUCCCGCAUACGUCCUUCGGGGGAAAGCGCAGUGCGCGCCGGGGGAGGGGCCUGCGGCCCAUCAGGUCGUUGGUGGGGUAAUGGCCUACCAAGCCGAUGACGGGUAGCUGGUCUGGGAGGAUGACCAGCCAGACUGGGACUGAGACACGGCCCAGACUCCUACGGGAGGCAGCAGCAAGGAAUUUUCGGCAAUGGGCGCAAGCCUGACCGAGCAACGCCGCGUGCGGGAUGACGGCCUUCGGGUUGUAAACCGAUUCCAGGGGACUAC